CCCUCUUUGAUCCUUCAAAUCCAAUUAUUAAUAAGGAUUAAUUAAUUCCUCGGCAAUGAAUAUGGAGGUUGACUCACUUUCCUAGAAAAUGGAACAAGACGAAGAAACGGCAUCUUCUUGUGGAGGGAGUGUUGAUUCGUCCUUCGGGGGUGCGAUCCCCAAAAGGUCUAGAAACCUCAUUGCGGACGUUUCUCCACUCCAUCAUGAGUUGCAAAGAAACAAAGAAUCAUUAAAGGUGAAGCUGAUGGUCCGACGCCCCAUGACGGCGCUUGUGGAACAAGGGAUCCUCCCGUCCCCUAAGACCAGCCCAGCUCUUCAUGAGCAACGCACCAAACUCGAGAGGGCUAAAAUGGGGGAUAUGCUACGCGCCAAAAUAGCCAAACGUCCUGAUCGUCAGGAACUUGUACACCGCCAUAUUCUGGAAGAUGUUCGCCCGGGGGUGGACCCCUCACUUUGUGAGCGACAAAUGCAACUUAAACGUGCUAAGCUUGCGGACACUUUGAGCAAUCAAUUGUCUCAUCGCCCAGGACCCUUGGAAUUAAUCAAAAAAAAUAUUUUGCAUACAGAGGACGAUAGUGUUGAGCAAGCUGUGAAACAAGGACAAAUCACUUUUACUCCCACUAAUGAAGGCUUAAGAACGUUCUUAUCCUCUCUUGAACCCGACGAGGACUCCAAUUCGGAGGGAAGCCCUCAAAGUGCGAGUGGUGGUCAAUCCCCGCCUCCACCACCACCUCCUCCUCCACCUCCUCCUCCACAACCACCUAACUAUUUGAGUAGUUUAUCUACCUCUUCCUCUCCAAAGCAAAUUUUCAUUGUUCCCAAAUCGUAUAGUCAAAGGUCUGCACCUGGAAAGGAUCAUACUGUUCGCAAGAAAAAAUCAAAAUCCAAAGGUGCUGUUGGAAAUAAGCAGAGAACCAUCAAGUUUCAUGAGUAUAAAGGUCCUCCAAGUACAUCCAGAAAGUUUUUAUCUGAUAAGUUAUCGGAUGGAGACUACACAGCCUAUGAUUUAUUACUACAACAGCAACAAUUAUAUUUGCAAUGGCAGCUUCAAACACAGCAACAAAAAUAUCAACAGUUAAUUCUACCAGCCACCACAUCAAUUACCUCAACGAAGUCAUCAGUUAUUGGCAGUGGAUUAGGUAAAGGAUCUCCCAAUUCUCAAACACCAAGAUCUACUACUCCUAAUAGAAUAGUUUCUAAUUCCCUACAAGCGCAACAAGAAGUGAAUGAUGCCAUUCAUAUGCUGGCCAGACUUGAUGACAUGAAAGUGAACGAUUUGAAAGCAGAAUUAAAGAAAAGAAACUUGACCAUUUCUGGUCCUAAACCCUUGCUCAUUGAUAGACUAAAGCCUCAUUUAGAAGCUGUGGUUGUAAAUGCACGGCAUCUCAACAAAGGUCUUCGCGAAAAUAGCCCCGUUGUUGUCCAAUCUCCGUCCUCACCUGCACUUUCAGUAGCAAUGGAUCUAGGAUCAGCUCCUUCAAGUCCAUUCGUCAUUACAACAGAUACAACUAACAUGGAAACAGACACUUUGACUCCAACUGUGAUACAUUCUAAAACUGUUCCUUCAUCUCCAAGUCCACCACCCGCCCCUCCUCCACCUCCUCCUCCACCGCCACCACCUCCACCAUCAAGGAAAAAAGGUUCGACAGGAAUUGUACUUCCACAAUCACCAUUACCAGUAUCUCAACUCCGACUAAUUAUUCAUCAAGCUCCCCCUCCUCCCCAAGAGGAUACUGAAACCUCCCAGAUCAUUGAAUCCCAGCGAAAAAAGAUCGAAGAACUACAAAUGGCUCUUGAAAUGUCUCAAAGUCAAUUGGAACUUCAACGUCUUCAACAACAGAACGUACAACAACUUCAAAAUGUUACUAAUUCUGAGAUUGUUGACAAAAAUAUCAAUAAUAUCAAUCCUGUUAUAAAAAGCUCAUCCUUGCCAAACUUUAAUCAAGAUUUAACUAAAAUGAUAGGGAAUGAGUUAGUACUCAAUGAAUAUAGUUCUACCUUGGGUUUCAACUCAAACAAUAAAAAUGUAAUCAAUAUCAACAACAAUCAGAAUAAUUUUAGUGGACCAAUGAAAGCCAUGAAUACUGAAGAUCAAUUUCCUGCCUCUGCAUCUCUGGAUUGUGAUAAUUUUAAUCUUCCUGGCGAUGAUGUUCUUGAUCUUUUACUACGGACUCAAGGGAAUCCUUCCCUGGAAUCUCAGGAUACUGGUAUUGAUUCCUCUAGUGAUCAGCAAUUUUCAACUGGAAAAUCACCUGCCUCUCUAUGUGGAGAGAUUCCUAAUCCUCCUCCAUUACCCAAAACUCAAUCUUCCUCGACUUUUCAACCGUUUUCAUCGAAUAACAUUGAUUUUUCAUCAUUGGAUCUGUCGGAUUUACCCUUUGAUGCCAUUCCUGAAGAACUUGUUAAUUCUAAUGAUAAUAAGCACACAAUUAUGGACGUUGAUCAGGAUGUUGGAGAUUGGCUUGAUUCCCUUUUACCCUCUCCAGGAAUUGCUCCUGAAAAUAACGAUAAUAAGACAAAUAAUUCAAUAAAUUAUGGUCAUUUUAAAGAGCUCAACGGUAACAUCAUUGGAUUCAACGAUGAGGAUAUUUGGGGCUAAUCUAUUUUACAAGUUUGAAAAGGUUAAAUAUACUGUAAAGAAAAUUACUUAAGAAUGUGAUACAUCAACACAUUAUUGUGUUUGAAUUGAAGAAAGGGGGAUGCAAUCAUUGUAGAAUUGUUGAAGAGCAGUGUUUUGCUUGAACCAAUGUCUUAUUAGUCGUUAUUUGUAUAGAAAUUAAAUGUUUUAACUUUAUGCGUGUGUUUGUCUGUUUCUGUACGAGCAUGUAUAUUUUUUAAGUAUUUAUUUAUUUUUAAAACAGUUAUUUAAUAGCUUGACCAAAUGGUGAAAAAAAGCUAUACCUAUAUAAAGCCGGAAAAUGUAGUUGUUUACGUAAAGUUAUAAACUAAAAAUGAUAAUAUUUUAUGUAUAAAUGAAAGGUGUUACAUAUUAAUAUAUAUAUAUAUAUUAUAUUCAUAUGCUUAGAAUCCUAGUUUUUGUAGUAUUUUUCUAUUGUGAAUUUACACUGAUGAAUUCUGUGACUAUAUCGUGUUUGUAUUUUGUUUUGCUAUUGAUUCAAAAUAUAAUUAUGCCGCGGACCUCGAAUUUAUUUCAGUAUUUUAUUACUAUUCUCAUGUUAAAGUUAUUAAAUUUCUGAAAUAUAAUUGUUAAUAUGUA
rnacentral:misc_RNA from 1 species